AAACAAAAGAAGAAGAAAGUUAUUUGAAGGAUACUUGUUUUUUUUGUUUUUUUACUAACCUCAACUGUACCAAACAACUCAUCUUUAAUGUGACCUCCUCCGAAUUCUUUCUUCAAUGUGGCACGAGUGGCAGCGUAAACCAUCUUCUGUCUGACCUGCAUGGUACAGAGGACGUACUGGUGACUGGUCGGGUGACCAAGCGAUGAAGAUCCACUCGUAUCCCAGCGUAUUCUGCGAAUCCAGUCGGUAGAGGAUGUAGCAUGGCUGCUGUGGCGUGAGCAGAGGUAACAGGAAGUGGUCAUAGUCCUUGUCCCAGCUUUCUACUGGCUGUCCGCACGACUCCAGCACCAACUCCUCUGCAGACAAAAGUCAAAUUUUAAGUUAUCCCAUAUCUCCAAAUAAAUACACAUGGCAAGAUUA